GUUUUAGUGGAACACAAUUGUUAGCUUAUGCAGUAAUUCAUUGUAUUAAACUACCUGAAUGGCAGUGACAACAACAACAACAACCACAACACAGCAACAACUACAACAACCA